CUCUCAUGUAACCUUUCUGUUUUCAAACCUCACCUUCUCCAUCAAUAACUUGGUCGUUGUCAGAGGCUGAUACCUUUGGUUUUUUUCCUUCAAGAAAUGUAACUUAUGACGAUGGUUGCGUGAAUAAAGAUAGAGGAUAGUAAAGGGUAAUGGAUAUUCAUUAUAUAAUUGAUGUGUUUGAGGUGUUUGAUUCAUGCGAUAUUUUACAUUUGGUAUAUGGAGUAAUAUGAGGAAAAGGAUCCGGCCAGUAGUAAACCAUAAGAUGUUAUCAAAGUGGCCUUUGUCAACAAUGCGAGAAUCCAUAAGAGUAAGUGUAAAUUGAAGUGGAUCACCGAGUUGUUUGGUCCUGUGGACUUGACCAGAUACCACUUGGUAUACCUGGACCUUGAUGGUGACUGGGUGAUGGCAAGGAACCAGCGUGAGUUUGGGCUUCAAGGACAACAAACUCACAAUCAGCAUCCAGUAGUGAUUCCUAUUCAUUCAAAGGAUGAUUGAUUGAUAUGUGAGGUUUGGAAAAAAUGGUUGUUUUCUUAAUUAAUAAUAGUCACUGACUAGCUAGGAUCUGUUGAUGAUAACUUAUGACUAGGAUUUCGGAUUUUUGUGGUUUUAGACUGGAUGCUUUAAUAUUUGACUUUAUAUGCCUUUUCAUGACGAUCUAUUGAUGAUAACUUAUAAUGACUAGGCCGGAUUUGGGAUUUGUGGUUUAA